GAGAGUGUGGGGAAAGCCUUUCUGCACCCUAAUCAUCCUCCUCUCUUGCAUUGUCUGCCUGGCACAUGCCCUGCCCCGAAGGCAACAAAACAUAAAACAUUUCAUGAGCUAGAAGAACAUGGAAAGUUUAUGAAGAGCUGCUGGCACUAUAUUCACAAGCAUGCAGAGGGAACAGAGUGAUUUUUAUUUUCCACCACUCUUAGAUUAUUGUCAUAAAGCUCUCAGAGAUGCCUGGCACGAGGGGAUGUAACAGCAGGAAGACAGGAGAGCGUCGCUACAGGGCGAGCAGCGUCUUGUGAGGUCUGAGAUAAACAGCACCGGCAGAUCGUGUUCACAGGCAUCUGCAGGACUAAGGAGGUGUGCUGCUCUAUCUGCCUCUCUAUUCAAGACCAUUUUGAGAUUCAGUUUAAAUUCUUGUUUAUGGAUUUAGAAGAGUUCCAGCAGUGAUUUCAGAGCAUUCUGUUGAUCUGAGGUACCUCCUACGAAAUGGAUUUGGCCUCUGUUCGUUCAUUCUCUUCUCUUGGUCAACUUCUCUGUGCCAAGGAGAGCAGUAACAAAGAAAAACGAUGGAGGGUUUAAUUCCUGGUGCAUUUCCCAGUUCAGAGGAAGGAUGCAGUUCCUAAGAUCAGAGAACAUAACUUCCAGCUGAUUAACCAAUAUACAAGCUCAAUAUACAAGGUAGGUGCGCAGUGAGCACUGGCUGCCUCUGGGGAAAUGAUGGGAAGGCAGCCAAAGACAAAUGUGCUGGAUGUCUGCAGGCUGGAAGAAGAGCAGACAAGGGAAAUCGGAGUCAAAAGUGGUUCUAUGUCUUCUGGUUUGCUGUUGUGUUCAGAUGCCCCAGCCUGAGUGGGAUCUU